GUACCAAUGGGAUAAAUAUCCACAAAAGAGAUCGCACUCCAUCUCUGAUCUAGUACACACUACCAACCGGGCACCCAUUGUAUUAAGUAUCCAAAUGGAAAUCCAUACGCAAUCUAGACAGAAUAAACAUCAAUUAAAAACAAUAUCAAUGAUACAAACACUACUCAGGCAGGGUGGAUAAGUCAACUUCUCCACACGAGGCUACAAUAAAGGAGAGAGAUCCCGUUCUUCGUUCAGACCCUUAGGGAAUAGAACCUGCAAUUCAUAAAUCCAAAAUAAUUCACGCUGCUUCAACAACAUUUCCCUAGA